rnacentral:lncRNA from 1 species
UUAAGGUAGAUCAUAAGUAAAUGUUUUUUGAGACAGAAUUUUCUUAUAAUUUGACAAAAUGAAGAUUUUCCUAUGCUUUUUUCAAAAAUAUAAUAAAAAGUAUGGGUCACCGUGCUAUUUUUCAAGCUAUGAGUCGUUGAAAAUUGCCUUAAUUUGGUUAGUUUGUUCAUGAAAAAACACAUAACAGUGCAUAAAAAAAAUUCUAUGAGAUAGAAUUUUGAAAUAAAUUGUGAGAAGAUAGGUUUUAUAAUAUGUUUU